AGUUCGCAAGAGAAGAUAGAAAAAAAAAAUGGCUGGCUAUGGCUAUGGUUAUGCUAAUUUUACGAGUCAGCCUCAGCAAUAUAAUGGAGGAUCUUUUCCGUCGCAAAACGCUGCAACUUACGGUUAUGCUGCUCAACCCAGUCGUGUAGUUCAACAGUCCAAUUAUCAAGCACCAAGUAGUGCUUAUGGUCCUGCAUAUUCCGCUGGUGGACAAGCCACUGUACAAGUUGCUACUACAGGAGGAUAUGGCUACUUUCAAAGAGCAUCUGAACAAAAUCCUACUUAUGCAGAAACUCAAAAAACACCAACGCAACAAGUGUUUGCUUAUGGAACUGCAAAGCCUGCGACUCAAUAUACUGGAAAUACUAUGGCUUAUCAGAAGCCACCAAGCUAUUCUUCUCAAAUUAAUUCAACAUUUGCUGGUUACACAGCACAACCACGUCCAAGUUCUAAUCCACCUACAUAUAACAGCUCAGGUGUCUCCUAUAACAAACCAAAACCUGCUCCCACUGCUCCUGUAAACAAACCUGUAACUCAUCAAAAUGCUUAUGAAAAAGUUGUGUACAAUGCUGCAACUAGUUUUCUUACUCAGCAAGCACAAACAGCACGACCAGCAUGGCAAAAAAAUGAAAAACCAACAUUCAAACUUAACCAAAAAGGUUCCUGGCCAUCAAGAAAUUCUAAUCCUCCAAAACCUCAGCAACUACAUUAUUGUGAAGUAUGUAAGAUAAGUUGCGCUGGUCAAUUGACAUAUAAAGAGCAUCUAGAGGGUCAAAAGCACAAAAAGAAAGCUAACUCUGCUGCAACAAAUGUUGCUACUAUGGCACCUGGAACUUACAAAUGUGACUUGUGUGAAGUGAUAUGCACUGGUCGAGAUGCUUUUGCAGCUCAUAUAAAAGGAACUAAUCACACUAAAACAAUGAAAUUGCACCAAAAGCUUGGUAAACCCAUUCCCGAUGUAAAGGUUCCUGAACCAAAAAAGCCAACAACUACAGUUACUACAGGAGUUUCUACUGGUACAAACUCAUCUGUCAAAAGUUCUGUACCAAAGGUUAGCUUUGUUGGAGGCACCAAGUUAAACUCUACAGGUGGGGAAGAAAAAGUUGAAACAUCAGAAUCACAAGAUAAUGAUAGUGAAAUUCCUCCUGAAGGAGAACCAGUGGGUGAAGCAUACAUAGAGGAUGUCAAGAGUGACCUAGGAAAAGUUAUUGGUUUCAAAUGCACACUAUGUGAUUGUCGAUUUAAUGAUGUUGUUGCUAAGACAGCACAUACUAAAGGACGAAGACAUCGCUUGAGUUAUAAGAAAAAAGUUGAUCCAACAUUGAAAGUUGAUGUCAAAGGCAAUGUUCGAGGAUCUAAUAGUCGUUGGGGUCGUAAUAGCGAUGAGCGACCUCGUGCAACAGGUAGUCAAGAGAUGGUUUGGAAACAGCGACAGCAAGAACAAAUAAGGUGGGAACAGCAGCUUAGACAUCGAGAAGAUGAGUUAAGAAGAUGGGAACAUGAUGAAUAUAUGCGAAGAGCUAAUGAAGACAGGUAUUGGACGCGCCCAGAUCGCAACCGAAUGCAAGAGUUAGAAUUUUAUGAAUGGGACAAUCGAGAAAGACAUGCAGAACCUCGUCCAUUGUUUGGACAUUCAAAUUCUUCUCAAUCACCUGAUGACCAGCUUGUGAUGGUGCGUCAUAAUGAAAUAUAUCCAAGUGAGGCAGAGCUUAAGCAAGUUCAAACAAUUGUAGCCACUGUAGAAAAAGCUUUAAAAAAGAUAUCUGAUGCUGUUGGAGAAGAAGAUCAAAAGGAAAGUGCUGCUAAACCUGUUGCUGAGGUUAAACAAGAAGUAACAGAAACAACUGGUACUGAUCCUAAACCAUUGAUGAAAUCAGAAAGUACUCAAUUUCGUCAAUUGAAAGGUGUCAUGAGAGUUGGUGCUCUUGCAAAAGGAUUAUUACUUCGAAAUCAACUUAAUGUAGAGCUUGUUGUUUUAUGUCUAAAUAAACCUACUGUUACGCUGCUUAAGCGUGUGGGAAGAAUGAUUCCAGACAAACUUAAGGAAGUUUCUCCCGAUGAAAAGUAUAAUAUGGUUAUCAGUGUAGCUGAUUGCGCAGUUAUAGUGACUUCAACAACAGAACCUAUAGCAUCUGUAAAAAUUGUGCUUACAUCUCCAAUGGUAAGAGAGGAAGAAGAAGAAGUUAAGAAGGAAGUUCCAAGCACUGUUAUUGCAGAAAAAAAAAGAGUCUGUUCCUGAAGAUCCCAAAGAUGUUUUGGACAGAGAGAAAUGUCUACAAGCUUUAGCCGCUCUUCGGCAUGCUAAAUGGUUUCAGGCGCGUGCAAAUCAAUUGGCUUCGUGCGUUGUUGUCAUUCGUAUACUUAAAGAUGUGUGUUCUCGUGUUCCGGCAUUCAAACCGUUGAGUUCUUGGGCAGUUGAAUUGUUGUGUGAGAAAGCCAUUUCUAGUUACUUUCAACCUGUUG
rnacentral:misc_RNA from 1 species